rnacentral:rRNA from 1 species
GACGAACGCUGGCGGUGUGCUUAACACAUGCAAGUGGUGCGACGAACCAGAGCUUGCUCUGGGGCAAAGCCGCGAACGGGUGAGUAACACGUGGGUAAUCUACCCCGAUGACCGGGACAACCCGAGGAAACUCGGGCUAAUACCGGAUGUGGUGCGGAGACAUAGUCUCUUCACUAAAGGUAGCUUCGGCUUCCGCAUUGGGAGGGGCCCGCGGCCCAUUAGCUUGUUGGUGGGGUCAAGGCCUACCAAGGCAACGAUGGGUAGCUGGUCUGAGAGGACGAUCAGCCACACUGGGACUGAGACACGGCCCAGACUCCUACGGGAGGCAGCAGUGGGGAAUCUUGCGCAAUGCGCGAAAGCGUGACGCAGCAACACCGCGUGAGGGAAGAAGGCCUUAGGGUUGUAAACCUCUUUCAGAUGGGACGAAGGUUCUCCGGUGAAUAGCCGAGAGGAUUGACGGUACCGUCAGAAGAAGCUCCGGCUAACUACGUG